rnacentral:rRNA from 1 species
CCUACGGGGGGCAGCAGUGGGGAAUAUUGGACAAUGGGGGAAACCCUGAUCCAGCCAUGCCCGGGGUGUGAAGAAGGCCCUCGGGUGGUAAAGAACUUCCGUUAGGGAGGAACGCUGGGGGUUAAUUACCAUCCGGGAAGGCCAUCAUUAACAAAAAAGGCCCGGGCUAACUCCGUGCCAGCAGCCGCGUUAAUACGGAGGGUGCGAGCGUUAAUCGGAAUUACUGGGCGUAAAGCGCGCGUAGGUGGCUUGAUAAGCCGGUUGUGAAAGCCCCGGGCUCAACCUGGGAACGGCAUCCGGAACUGUCAAGCUAGAGUGCAGGAGAGGAAGGUAGAAUUCCCGGUGUAGCGGUGAAAUGCGUAGAGAUCGGGAGGAAUACCAGUGGCGAAGGCGGCCUUCUGGACUGACACUGACACUGAGGUGCGAAAGCGUGGGUAGCAAACAGGAUUAGAUACCCGAGUAGUC